rfam:Neotoma lepida isolate 417 scaffold_125, whole genome shotgun sequence.
GUGCUCACUUUGGCAGCACCUAAACUAAAAUUGGAACAAUACAGAAAAGAUUAGCAUGGCCCAUGUGAAAGGAUGAUAUGCAAAUUUGUGAAACAUUCCAUAUUUUU